AUGCUCCCCUCAUGCCACGGCGUAUUGUAUAUGCCCUCCAAGUACAGCAGCAAGUGCGUCUGCUGCUCUACUUUUGAUAUACUCCUCUAUGCUGCCCUUCCCCAGGUUUCCUCUCCCAUCUAUGGUCUGAUGUUAAAGUACAAUAUGUUCAGGCAUCGCAGCGCGUGCCCCCGUAAUUAACUAGUGCCAUAUGUUCUGAUGUCGCAGUACAAUUCAGCUCUUUCUUUAUGCCUGCACAUGAAAUCUUAG
rnacentral:rRNA from 1 species